CGUGGGACAUCGAGUUACCAGCUCUGGCUUCCCCCAGGUGCCCUUGAUCAAGAAAGCACGGCCCUCCCUCCUCCAUCGCCAAGGAGAUUCAGGAAUUUGUGGGACCCACCUCAUGUCGGGUUAUUGAGUAACUGGCGGGCCAUCGAAUGUCAGGGCUGAGAAAACAAAGCUGCCUACCUGUUGGGCCAGAUGACCUCACAGCCCCACCUGGUCUUCUGGCACGGGCUUGCUCCAGCUUCCGUCAGUGACACCUUCCAACAAGCCCCGCCCGCAUCGUGCUGUUCUAAACACCCAACUUGAGGAUUCUUGCUGUGCUCAGCCCCCUCCUAUAGGUGUGGAGAAGACCAAACCAUCACCAGCUACCCCC